rnacentral:rRNA from 1 species
GACGAACGCUGGCGGCGUGCUUAACACAUGCCAGUCGAACGGAAAGGCCCUGCUUUUGUGGGGUGCUCGAGUGGCGAACGGGUGAGUAACACGUGAGUAACCUGCCCUUGACUUUGGGAUAACUUCAGGAAACUGGGGCUAAUACCGGAAAGGAGCUCCUGCUGCAUGGUGGGGGUUGGAAAGUUUCGGCGGUUGGGGAUGGACUCGCGGCUUAUCAGCUUGUUGGUGGGGUAGUGGCUUACCAAGGCUUUGACGGGUAGCCGGCCUGAGAGGGUGACCGGCCACAUUGGGACUGAGAUACGGCCCAGACUCCUACGGGAGGCAGCAGUGGGGAAUAUUGCACAAUGGGCGGAAGCCUGAUGCAGCAACGCCGCGUGCGGGAUGACGGCCUUCGGGUUGUAAACCGCUUUCGCCUGUGACGAAGCGUGAGUGACGGUAAUGGGUAAAGAAGCACCGGCUAACUACGUG